rnacentral:rRNA from 1 species
GACGAACCGUGCGAACGUUGUUCGGAUUCACUGGGCUUAAAGGGCGCGUAGGCGGGUCCAAUAGUCAGGGGUGAAAGCUCCCGGCCCAACCGGGAAAGUGCCUUUGAUACUGUGGAUCUCGAGGGAGGUAGGGGCACGCGGAACUUCCGGUGGAGCGGUGAAAUGCGUAGAUAUCGGAAGGAACGCCGGUGGCGAAAGCGGCGUGCUGGACCUCUACUGACGCUGAGGCGCGAAAGCCAGGGGAGCAAACGGG